CUGAAGCAACACUGCUUUUCUGCUCCUGGCUACGGCAACAGAGGACGACAUAAGGGUCCAUGUUAUUGAGGAAAUCGGUGUUUUCAAGACCCUUAGCACCAACAAGAAGGACUUGGAGCGUUCCUUGAGGCAUUUUUGGACACCAAAAUUGGAAAGGAAAAGAUCCCAAAAGAAAAAAGAGAACAAAAGCAGCAAGAAUAAAGAUCGAAAUGAGAUUUUUCUUGGAUCUCUCCCUCGUGGUGUCUGAGCGAAUGACUAAUGAGAAGGACAAAUAAUGUUUAUUUAUAGUGCAAGAUUCAGGCAGGACAUGGCAUCGG
rnacentral:misc_RNA from 1 species